rnacentral:rRNA from 1 species
GCCAACAAAUACAUUAGCAUGGGAUAAUGGAAUAGGACCCUGUCCUCCUAUUUUCAGUUGGUUUUGGCARCGCGAGGACUAGGGUAAUGAUUAAUAGGGAUAGUUGGGGGCAUUAAUAUUUAAUUGUCAGAGGUGAAAUUCUUGGAUUUAUGAAAAAUUAACUUCUGCGAAAGCAUCUGCCAAGGAUGUUUUCAUUAAUCAAGAACGAAAGUUAGGGGAUCGAAGACGAUCAGAUACCGUCGUAGUCUUAACCAUAAACGAUGCCGACCAACGAUUAAGAGACAUUGAAUACAAAACACCACCAUCGGUGCGGUCGUCCUUGGCGUCGGUACUUCUCGGAGGCGCGGGGAGGGGGCGAGCUUAGCCCGGUGGAAGAGGGGUGGGGAGACAUAAAUAGCAGCUUGAGAG